UCCCCGGUGGUCCAGUGGUUAGGACGGGGCGCUUUCACCUCUGCGGCCCAGGUUCGAUCCCUGGUCUGGGAA
rfam:Sus scrofa isolate TJ Tabasco breed Duroc chromosome 12, whole genome shotgun sequence.